rnacentral:siRNA from 1 species
UGCUAUUGUAAUCCAGAAUCCGA